AUCCCGACGGUACCGCACGGCACGGCCCACGGUGAGAUCGGCUCUGCUUUUUCGCCCGCGAAACCGGCGGGAGAAGACACCCUCUCCUCCCUCUCUCCCCUUCCUGCCGUCACUCAUCCACCAGCCUGGGCGACGACGCACCGCCCGCGGCGCAUUGACUUGCGCACGUUACGCUGUCGUCGUUUCCCCCUACCACGCCACCUCCAUGUUCCGGGGGGGAGGCGAACGCGUCCCGCGAGUCCCACGGCCCACCUCAACUCCUAUAAAAACUGCGUUCGGAUUGGAUCUCGCCGUCUCGCUUCCUGGUCAAAUUGUUCGCUAAUAAGCAUCGAUCGAAGGCGAGGCCAGCCAGCCAGCCGGGGCGCCGGGGGAGCUGGGGAAGAUGGUGCAGGGGACGCUCGAGGUGCUGCUCGUCGGAGCCAAGGGCCUCGAGAACACCGACUACCUGUGCAACAUGGACCCGUACGCGGUUCUCAAAUGCCGCUCGCAGGAGCAGAAGAGCAGCGUUGCGUCAGGUAAAGGAUCUGACCCUGAAUGGAACGAAACCUUUAUGUUCAGCGUCACUCACAACGCUACAGAGCUCAUCAUCAAGUUGAUGGACAGUGACAGUGGCACGGAUGAUGAUUUUGUUGGAGAAGCAACGUGAGUACACCGUUGUAUUCUGCUCAUAACUAAUUAUACACUGCAAGUCCAAUUGAACUAGAGGUUAAUUAUUUCUAUCUAUGCUAGCUUCCAUGGCUUUGUUAAUAUCAAAUAUCCGUCUGAAUAUGGGGGUGAGCCCAAACUGCUCACAUGUCGGUUAUGUGGUCCUGAAAUUAUAUCAAAAUCUGUUUUGAGUAAAAUGGUCCUCAAAUGACUAGUUUUUCCUUCAGAUCUAUAAUCUCCUGACAUAUUGUAGGAUCCUACCUGAACGUUUGCAAUAUCCAUUUCUUUCAGGAUUUCUUUGGAAGCAAUCUAUACAGAAGGAAGCAUACCCCCAACUGUUUAUAAUGUUGUGAAAGAAGAAGAAUACCGUGGAGAAAUCAAAGUGGGCCUGACGUUCACUCCAGAGGAUGAUCGCGAUCGGGGUUUAUCUGAGGAAGACAUUGGUGGAUGGAAGCAGUCAUCUUGAGGAAGAAGCAGAUACUUUGAUGUCGCACUGCAUCGCUAUGGUAAGUCGUGUGCUGGAAGCCUGGAACAAAGCCUAUUGAAAAGAGCAGUCUUGUAGAAAUACUUCUCAUGAUUUUCUAAAAGUUGUAAUAAUAGUGUUCGCCAAUAUGCUCUAUAUGUAAGGACCUUGCUUUGAUGCCCACUAAACUGUAAUAACUAUGGCAAGUUAUGAUGCAA
rnacentral:lncRNA from 1 species